rnacentral:tRNA from 2 species
GUGGGCGUAGCUCAAUGGCAGAGCACUGGACUGUGGCUCCAGUGGUUGCGGGUUCGAGCCCCGUCGCCCACCCCA